UAGUAAAGGCUUUAUUAUUAUUCAAAUCACUGUUUAUAAAAUCUUGUGUUAAAAAUUAAAAUUCAAAGAUGAAAGAUGACAUUACAACGCCCAAAAUUGAAGGGCAAUGGGUGAGAUUUUAACCCAAUAUUUAGACUAAUGCUCAGUCCAAGAUCUGCUCAUCCUCUUUAUCCCAAGCUUUUGUGAGGCUAUACAAAUGGAUUGGACAGUUCUUCACUGCUUAAGCCAUAAGCAUUCUUUGUAAAUUUAUAACUCACUAUUCUACUUACCCAACCACCAAAGCCAUGGCAGCAGCCAAUCUGGAUUCUAAAUCACUAUGAACCAAGACAGAUAGAAAGCAACAUCAAUAUCUCCUAGAAAGCAACAUCAAUAUCUCCUCUUCAGUUAUCAUGUUCUAUUCAUCCUAAAAAUAAAAAAUGCAGUUGCAAAUGAACAUACAUACAUAUAUACAAAAUGCAAACAAAUGACACCAUUUGAAUAGAGGGGGAGAUGAAUGUCUUCUAGAAACUUGGAUCCUCACAUCUAAUCACAAGCCUAACAAGAUUUCACAUAUAGUUUAGAAGCAUCUUUAUUGACUACAAGAGUAACUAACUACAUGCGUUGAGAAGUAGAAAAGCUAAUCCUACCAAUUAGGUACCAUGAGAAGGGGCACAUACAGAAGCAUAACUACAGAUGGAAGUUGUAGGCCUUCACAUAUGAACAUCAUGCUAA
rnacentral:misc_RNA from 1 species